UGCAAGUCUAAUAGAUUCUCACUCUGAUUUCUCCUAAGCCGUAGCCUAGUGUUUCUUCCCCUGCAGUUACUCCUCCGCCACCGCCUACCAAUGGUAGGUAAUGUCUGAUUAAUUUUGCUCUGUGGAAGGGAGAUGCUAAUGUAUCUUUGUAUUGUACGUUGUCCAGUUAGUCUCUGUCCCGAAUUCUUAUGAUGCCUUUCUUAACUGAGUUGGACGUUGUGGGAGCUAUAUUAGUAUGUUCAUCUCUUAGAAUUAGAUGUGAGAUUAGAUUGUGGUCAUUUUCAGUUAAACUGUAGAUUUUAUGUCACUAAUUAAUAACGUUGCAUUGUCUUUCAA